GGGGUUGUUACGGAUUCGACAGGCAUUAUGAGGCAUGUUUUGCGUCCCAUCGGCAGAUGUAAAUUGCCAGUUAAAUAUAACUGCAAAAAAUACAAACUCUUACGCUUUAGCUGCCUAAAAACCAGCUAGCGUGACUUCUACAAGAUUGCUUGUGUCCUGUUAGAAGUCUCAAAAUAGCAAGCUACGGUUACGAAAUUGUCUAGUUUCGUGACAAGAGAUUGAUAGACUCGCAAACUAAUGGCUUGAGUUAUGUGUCUUUAGUUUGUUAAAUGAAGACAUAACCUAUGGACGUAGACAAAUAUGUUGGCAGGUGUUUGGACGUGGGUUCG
rnacentral:tmRNA from 1 species